ACUUUGUAAAUGAAUCGGUGAAUAAAUCUUUUUCAGACAGAAAUCCUGGCACUAUACAUCCAUGUCACUAAAUACUGUGGCCUGAUAAUCAGUACUCUUGUAGAUUGCAUAUGAUACAGUGGUUAGCUGACAAGUUUAGUGAUUGCUAGAUCGCUUUUAUCAUGAAUGCCCAUUCGAGUAACUUUUAGGACGUGAAGGUCAUUGUCAUGUUCCAAGCCAUUGACGGAAAGGAGGGGCAUCUGAAAACCUUCUCCUAAGGGUUUUGGCUGUUUGUGAGCUUGGACUUGCAUAUUAUCCUGAUUUUCCUCAGAACGAUGUGUGGCUAUACCAGUCUAUACCAGUCUAUACCAGUCUUCAUAUUUUCCUUCAUAUUUGGUGUCUAUACCAGUCUUCCAGAUCUAAUUUGCAAUUGAUGCUACAUUUGAACCGCAGUACGUGUAAGUGUAACAUCACAGACUUAAAGAUAGGAAAUCAUUCCAAUUAGUGAAAGAUAGUUUAUGUGCUAGUAUAUGGCCAGCUUCAAAAUGUAUUAUAGCUCAGCGAGCUUGCCUUAAACAACCUUGUCCAAGAUAGUUUGUUCAAAAUAUCUUAAUGCUGUGUUUCACCAUUCCUUUGUAAAGCAAGCUCAUAUCUUUUCCAAAGCAGGGAAGGGAAUAGAAAUGCUUAUUAGGGUUUAAUGUAACAUCAGCUGAAGGUCUUUUGACUGUUAUCUUUAAUGAGUAUCUUGGUGCUGUCCCA